CAGAGACUUCUGGAUGCAAACAACAGAGGCAGCUUUGUUGCAGGAGAGGGUGCAUGUGUGGCUGCUGGAAGGAGCCCAGUGCUCGGAGAAAGCUCUGGAGGCCUGUAGGUGGAGUCCAGCUGCGUCAACCACUCUGCGGGCAAGGAAUUGCUUCACAAGAGGACAAUGAGUAAAGCCUCUCUUUGAUCCACCUCCACACCUUAUUAACUGCCUGUGAAAGGAGGAGAUUAUUCUGCCUUAGAAAGAAAGAGAGAAAGAAAGAAAGAGAGAAAGAAAGGAAGAGAGAGAGAAAGAGAGAGAGAAAGAGAGAAAGGAAGAGAGAAAGGAAGAGAGAAAGAGAGAAAGAGAGAAAGAAAGAGAGAAAGAGAGAAAGAGAGAAAGAGAGAGAGAAAGAGAGAAAGAGAGAAAGAGAGAAAGAGAGAGAGAGAGAGAGAGAGAGAGAGAGAGAAAGAAAGAAAGAAAGAAAGAAAGAAAGAAAGAAAGAAAGAAAGAAAGAAAGAAAGAAAGAAAGAAAAACAUAGAGGGAAUAAAACAAUCAGCAGAGGCAAAUGAGGUGAGCAGUUAGUCUGGAACCCUUCAGACCAGCUUGACUUUCACUUCUGGUCAUACCAGCCUGAUGUCGAUGCAAGGAUCUCCAGCACCCACAAGGAUGCUCCAGGAUGCUGAAGAAGGUUUUCGCACCACCUCCCUGUCCAAGGAAGAAGCCGCUGCACUCCACGUUACUCUUCCAAAGACCUCAGUGCACCCACAGUGGUCCUGGAGAACACUGCAGUGACCAACAACUGCUCUGAUAAGAUUUCAACGGUGAAUUUGACUGGCCCGGUGUGUCUGAGUUACGUUUCCAGCAGGCCCACUGGAGGUACAGAAGAGACAGUUUCCAUUUCUGAGCUCCCAUUCUUCUCUGCUGUCUCGAUCACACCCCCAAAUUCACCACUGGAGCAGUGAUGGCUCCCCUUGUCAGCUGCUUUCUUCUGGAGACAAACGUGCACAACAGGCUCUGGGGUGCACGUUGGCAAAGCAGUGGGCUGGUGUGUCCUAUAUUUCUUCCACCAUGACUUCAGGUUGCCAACCUGUAUUACACCAGUAUUAGAAAAAAGAGGAAACUGGGGAUUUAUUUUAUUUUAUUUUUUAUUUUUGUGUGUAAGUGGAGAAAAAGUGUAGAUUCACUCGCCUAAUCUUUGCGGGUUGAUGUAUUAAAAAUGUACUACAGAUUUACUUUUCUCCAUAUUCUCUCUUUCUGUUGUAUGAGUCAUGAGCAAAAAAACAUGGGGGAAUUUCAGGUGAUUUUUAUUCGGGUAAUUAGGGUGAUUCCCAAAUCCCUCUGAUUCACGCACAAAUUGCACUCAUUACAGCUUUCUAUCCAUGGUUUCCAACAAGCUAUAUGACUGUGUCUGUGCUAAUACUACUGGACACACUGCAGUCUGCAAGUCACCACGUCUGUGACGUGUUUUUUAAUCUGCCCACCUUUACAGUCUGAAGGAAGAUACUAUCUAUUAAUCUUUAAGCUAAGAGCUGCAGCACUGCUGACCUCUGCCUCUGGGGUGACAUCAGCUUGCUGAGGAAUGAGCUUGUUCUCCCCGAUCAGGUGCAAGGGACAGACCAGCCUGAGAUCUGGCAUGGAGAGGAGGUUGAUCAAUUCACUGGCUCCUGCCGGCAGGGUAUAUAAUUUUCCAUUUAUCUUAUCAACUUUUUUUGGCCUACCUCCAGCAUUGUUUUCCAGAGGAAGCAGGAGGAAAGUCCUCUGACCAAUGAGUGCUCCUCCAAAAGGGAUUUGGCAUCAUUUGUUCCUUCUUCAAUCAUCAAAGUGACAAUUUGAGCAACUUUUAACUGAGGUGGAAACCAAACCUGGUUCAGAGAAUCAUGAAAUCACAGAAGCAUGAAAGUUGGAAGACCUCCAAGAUCCCCAAGCCCAACCCCACCCCAUCCCACCACAUCCCCAAGUGCCACAUCUCCAUGGUUCUUGAACACCUCCAGGGAUGGGGACUGCACCACCUCCCUGGGCUGCCUGUGCCACUGCAUCACUGCUCUUUCAGAGAAUAAAUUUUUAUAUCUCUUAGGGUUAUGGCAAAAUUCCCUUUCUUACCUCCAAUGUGGAAUUCCAGCACAUGGGUACCAGGAUUGUGAUGCUGGUGAGAACAAUACAGGAUAAUGUGUAUGUAUGUAUGCACCAGACAACAAGUAGGAAUUAGAGAUUGUUAUGUUUAGGGAGCCAAGCACAAUAAACUUAGGAAAUAGCAGCAAUAAAUGGAUGUGUGGGUUCUGAAUUUUGUAUUUGUUUUACUUUUGUUCUUUGCUCACCAGGAAUAAAGCAACAUAAUCCUGACAGCAUGCAUGCUAUAAGCUCUGGUCUCAGUGGAGGAGAUGAGGAUGGUUUAGCCCCAGGAAAUGUGCUCUGUUUGAUGAUAUUGAACAAUAAACCAAUGCAAAAUGUAAAAGAAUGAAAAAUAGCAAGGUCUUCUCAGUACUUCCCCAGCCUCAGCUGUAAUCCUUUGGCACCUGUAGGGUGGUUUUGAACUCUUCUUUAUGGUGAUGGACUGCACUCUGCAGAUGACAUCGGAGGAAUUUACUGCAAUGAAACAUAACACCUUAAUGAGGAAAAGAACCGCUUUCCUCCUAAUGCAGCAGCUUUGUCUGGUUUUUCCCUCCACCACGCAGUGUGAUGGUUCAGAUCUAAGACUCGUGUGGUUGUUGAAUUGCCAUGAUGGAUUUUAGAAAGGGGAAAAUCAUGUCAAGUUUAUGUAAGCAGCUGCUCUUUGGAAAUACAUCUUAAUUACGGGUAAAAAUACUAAGCCAUAACUUAUAUACUUCUUUUAAAGAACACUUUUUUGUUUUGUU
ensembl:lncRNA